rnacentral:rRNA from 1 species
GAUGAACGCUAGCGGCAGGCCUAACACAUGCAAGUCGAGGGGCAGCACAUAAAGUGGUUUACUACUUUUGGUGGCGACCGGCGGACGGGUGCGUAACGCGUAUGCAACCUGCCUCCAACAGGGGGAUAACGGAGAGAAAUUUCCACUAAUACCCCAUAAUAUCAGAAUCGGCAUCGGUUUUGGUUGAAAACUCCGGUGGUUGGAGAUGGGCAUGCGUUGUAUUAGAUAGUUGGUGAGGUAACGGCUCACCAAGUCAACGAUACAUAGGGGGACUGAGAGGUUAGCCCCCCACACUAGUACUGAGACACGGACCAGACUCCUACGGGAGGCAGCAGUGAGGAAUAUUGGUCAAUGGGGGCAACCCUGAACCAGCCAUGCCGCGUGCAGGAAGACGGCUCUAUGAGUUGUAAACUGCUUUUACAAGGGGAUAAAUCGGUGUUCGUGUACACCGUUGAAGGUACCUUGGGAAUAAGGAUCGGCUAACUCCGUGCCAGCAGCCGCGGUAA